GGAAGCCAAGAGGGAGGGAAGGGCAGAGAAAGAGCCCGGGAAGAAGGAGGUGGCAGGCAGAGGAACGUAACGAAGAGCAAUGUGGCCUGGGAUUUGGGAUUUUUGCUUCCACCCCCAAAUCCUUUCUUCUACAAAUGGGGGUGGGAAACUUUCCCCCCGAGAGAUUCUGGAAUCUCCCUGCAUCUGAGGCCAAAAUUUCACUCCAACGCAAGCUUCUUCUCUGCUAUUCUGUGGCCAAGCAUCUACCAGCCCCAUGACUCAAGGUUUGUCCUCUGUUCACUCAAAGAGGUGGAGCAAAAACGUUCCUCCUAAGGUCCUCUCUGCCUGAGUCUACGCCCUGCCAUCGCCUCGAUUUUCAGGACCUUGGGGCCAGAAGGACCCAGAACCAUCCCUUUGCCCCAGUUCUGUCUCCCUGACUGCUGCCCACUCCUGAGCCUUGAACACCCCUGGGGUACCCCAGACCCC
rnacentral:lncRNA from 1 species